rnacentral:rRNA from 1 species
UACGAAGGUGGCGAAUGAUGCUCGGAUUCACUGGGCGUAAAGCGUUGGUAGGUGGUGUAAUAAGUUAGAGGUGAAAGCCCCGUGCUCAACAUGGGAACUGCCUUUAAAACUGUCGCACUAGAAUGUGGAAGAGGAUGGUAGAAUUGCUGGUGUAGAGGUAAAAUUCGUAGAUAUCAGCAGGAAUACCCAUGGCGAAGGCAGCCAUCUGGUCCAUUAUUGACACUGAGCAACGAGAGCGUGGGGAGCAAACAGG